rnacentral:rRNA from 1 species
AUUGAACGCUGGCGGCAUGCCUUACACAUGCAAGUCGAACGGUAACAGGUCUUCGGAUGCUGACGAGUGGCGAACGGGUGAGUAAUACAUCGGAACGUGCCCGAUCGUGGGGGAUAACGAAGCGAAAGCUUUGCUAAUACCGCAUAAGAUCUAAGGAUGAAAGCAGGGGACCGCAAGGCCUUGCGCGAACGGAGCGGCCGAUGGCAGAUUAGGUAGUUGGUGGGAUAAAAGCUUACCAAGCCGACGAUCUGUAGCUGGUCCGAGAGGACGACCAGCCACACCGGGAGUGAGAACCGGCCCAGACUCCUACGGGAGGCAGCAGUGGGGAAUUUUGGACAAUGGGCGAAAGCCUGAUCCAGCCAUGCCGCGUGCAGGAUGAAGGCCUUCGGGUUGUAAACUGCUUUUGUACGGAACGAAAAGACUCUUUCUAAUAAAGAGGGUCCAUGACGGUACCGUAAGAAUAAGCACCGGCUAACUACGUGCCAGCCGCCGCAGUAA